GCCCCCAUAGCCUAACCUGGAUAGGGCGAUAGCCUUCUAAGCUAUUGGUAGGGGUUCAAAUCCCCUUGGGGGCA
rnacentral:tRNA from 1 species